ensembl:lncRNA
GUAUCAUCUGACUGGCCUUCCCAGAUACUACUGGAGCCAGGGGUGGGAGUCUGAAGAGGCUUCUGUAGGAGACACCACUGCUCUGAGUUUGAGCUCACAACUCUGAAUCUUCAAGCAGUAUGAGUUAACACAUUACCGUGACCACCUGGCUUGCUCAUCAUGAUUGGGAACAGAAAGCCCAAAGGAAUGCUGGCAGUCCUGCCCUCCACGUGACACUAGCAAAUCCUCAAGGCAAGCCUCAGAAAGCGCCCUGGCGGGAACUACAGAAACUAGCUUUUGCAGUCUACAAACCCGAAAGACUCCUGAUCUCCAACGGCUCAGGAUCAUAUCUCGCGGCAACAGCAGCGACAGUUGUGGCGCGGGCUGGG